GUAUUGUGAAUGAAAGGUGAAAAGAAUACCGAAAGGUAGGUGAAACAGAAUUAAAACUUACAAUGUCUCCAUGUGAUAUAACUGCUUGUGGAAGAAAGAAUUGUCGAAUUUCAAUCCCUUACUCAAGUGUUUAAAGCCCGAAUACUGGCGAUCUAACUAUACACGAACAUCUCUUAUAACUUACUUGAGUCUAUUGAAGAUUAAAAUGCUCAGGGGUACACACCUGCCAUCCAACAAAUAGUUAGCAGUUAAAUGUUAUACGAGCCAAUGUUAAUAUCUGGAUCUGUUCGAAAGAAAUAAUGCUGUCUAAUAGACGUCUCAAAUGCUCAAACUCUAUACCCAUAACACUACAACGCCUCAUUAAGCUAACUAAAAUAAGAUUCAUCUAGACAACUAUCCAUCAUUCGCAAUUUCGUUAAGAUGGGUAUUCGCUUAUGUAACAAAUGGGACAAGCCCAAAUAAGUAGCUAAAGCUUAUCUGUCUUAAAUCAAAUACUUCGUGUUUCAAUCUAAACAACUCAAAAGUAGGAUUAAUAGGAUCCAUCUUUUCAAAAGUGUGUAGCAUCUUAUGAGCUAAAUUAUCCAU
rnacentral:rRNA from 1 species